rnacentral:rRNA from 1 species
UACAGAGGGUGCAAGCGUUGUUCGGAAUUACUGGGCGUAAAGCGUGCGUAGUCGGUAUUGAGAGUCACGGGUGAAAUCCCAGGGCUUAACCCUGGAACUGCCUGUGAGACCUCAGUACUAGAGUGUGAGAGGGGAUAGUGGAAUACCCAGUGUAGCGGUGAAAUGCGUAGAGAUUGGGUGGAACACCGGUGGCGAAGGCGGCUAUCUGGCUCACAACUGACGAUCAGGCACGAAAGCGUGGGGAGCGAACAGG